CAAUAUAAAAUAAAUCAUAAAUCCAGGACAUGGUUAGACCCUAUACCCCAACCCGCCCACUCUGCUCUGCAUCAACCAACCA